rnacentral:rRNA from 1 species
UACGGGGGGGGCAAGCGUUGUUCGGAAUUACUGGGCGUAAAGGGCUCGUAGGCGGCCAACUAAGUCGGAUGUGAAAUCCCCAAGCUUAACUUGGGAACUGCAUCCGAUACUGGAUGGCUUGAAUCCGGGAGAGGGAUGCAGAAUUCCAGGUGUAGCGGUGAAAUGCGUAGAUAUCUGGAGGAAUACCGGUGGCGCAGGCGGCAUCCUGGACCGGCAUUGACGCUGAGGAGCGAAAGCUAGGGGAGUAAACGGG